rnacentral:rRNA from 1 species
AGUGAUCCGGUGGUUCUGUAUGGAAGGGCCAUCGCUCAACGGAUAAAAGGUACUCCGGGGAUAACAGGCUGAUACCGCCCAAGAGUUCAUAUCGACGGCGGUGUUUGGCACCUCGAUGUCGGCUCAUCACAUCCUGGGGCUGAAGCAGGUCCCAAGGGUAUGGCUGUUCGCCAUUUAAAGUGGUACGCGAGCUGGGUUCAGAACGUCGUGAGACAGUUCGGUCCCUAUCUGCCGUGGGCGUUUGAGAUUUGAGGGAAGCUGCUCCUAGUACGAGAGGACCGGAGUGGACGAACCUCUGGUGUUCCGGUUGUCACGCCAGUGGCAUCGCCGGGUAGCUAUGUUCGGACAGGAUAACCGCUGAAAGCAUCUAAGCGGGAAGCCCCUCCCAAGAUGAGAUCUCACUGGGACACUAAGUCCCCUGAAGGGCUGUUGAAGACUACAACGUUGAUAGGCACGGUGUGGAAGCGCAGUAAUGUGUGAAGCUAACGUGUACUAAUUGCCCGUGAGGCUUGACCAU